UUUUUUUGUUUUUGUUUUUUUUUUUUUGUCUCAUAGUGUCUGCCUUUCUAUUUAUCUUCCCUUUGACAGUUGCUAUGUAGAUGUUGAAGCAGAUGUCCAGUCCUGGAGUUCUCAGAGGUGGCAGUGGUUCCCUACAUGUACCUCUUUGCUGGGUAGGCUCUAGGGAUUGUUCAGUGUAGAUUUAGGAGCAGGUGUUGCUGUUCUUCCCGUGCUCUCCUUGCUUUGCCACUCUUGGGAAUCUCUCUCUAAAGCCUCAGGGAUGGGAGGGGGGUCUUCUUCCUACUUUUUGCUCACAGGAUGUCUCUGUAGCUGCAGGAUAUGUAUUUCUGGUGGUCCCUCCUCCUGCCUUGCUGCUGGUAGGAGUUCUCUCUCUGGCCCUGCAGAUUGAAAUGUGGGUUAAUGGGCCUCCCCAGCUCCCCUGGUGUGCAAAGAGUGUCACUGACCUGAGUCUUCACAGAGCCACUGGCAGGGGUCCUGUAACUUGUGUUCUUCACCAAUUAGGCAGCCCACGGCUCCAUCAGAGAGUGGGCACAAGCAGCCCUCUUGUGGGAAUGGGUGCUCUCAUGCUGGCAUGAACCUCUGCAGAUUCUCUGGGUGAAGCCGAGAUGCUUGUGUUUACCUGAGUUUUCCCUGCUCAAGCAGAUCACUGCUUUUGCAGGAAGCAGGUGCUGCCACCAGCAGUUUAUCUGGCAUCACUUUGCUGGUGCAAGCCUCCUAGAGUCUCUGGACAGAGCCAAAGCACCUGAGUUUUCCCCUGAUCAUCAGGGAGUGGGCAUAGGUGGCCCCCUUGAAGGAAUGGGUACAGCUUCUCUGGGUGGAGCAGAGACUCCUGUGUUUUCCCUGAUCAAGUACAUUGUUGCUUUUGUAGGAAAUGUGCACUGCCACCAGCAGCUUUUCUGGUGCUGCACUGCUGGCCAGAACCUUUGCAGAUUCUCUGGGUGGAGCCUGUGUUUUCCCUGAUCUUUCAGGGGUUGAGUGCUAUUCUUCCAGUGCUGGUUGGGCUCCACUAGUGCAGGAUCCCCACCGGCGUGAACUGGAAACUUGUGUUAUUCCCCCAGGCAUUUAUUCCACUUGCUCCAAGAAGUCUGUACCCUAAGGGCAGUGCUGCUUCCCAACCAUUGCUAGACAGCUGCUAUGGGCAAGUGGUUCCUGAGCUGAGGCAGGCAGUGUCUUGCAGCUUGAGAAAGUUGGUGUAGGGAACAAGGCUAUACUGGUGGUUCCUGCCCCUUCCUUCCAGCACUGCCAAACAAUGGCCUCUGGUCUCUAAGCCUGACUGCUUUGCCUCUGCUUAGAUGCUCUCCAUUGUGAUUGCCCUAUAGUCUAGUCCCUCUAGGCUGUUUUUGCACGACCAACCCUGGUUUUUUCCCCAUGUAGCAGGCCCCAGCUCCCUCUUUGGGUCUGAUCUCUAAGGCCAAAGUUUUUGUUCCCAACACCUGCUGGCACCUGCCUAUGGUUGCCCAUUGCCCAUAGCACUGACCAUUGGUGGAGGACUGUCUCCUUCUUAACUGCUUCAGGCCAUUUAUCUAGAGUUCCUCUUCCAUUUUUGGCUGAUCUCAUCACUGGUGGGGGAACUUCCCAAGGUGCAGGAACUAUUACUCUUUCCAGCUUCCUCCUGAGAGAAUAGGCCCCAUCCAUCUCAUUUACUUUAGCUUCUUUUUCUCUUCUUCUUUCUUAUGUCCUAUCUGGUUUUGUAAUGUUUUUCUUGUUCUAUCAUAAUCCUGUGGUCUUUUGUCAGUUUUUCUCAAAUUUUCUGUGCAAAUAGUUCCACAUAUAGUUGUAUUUUCAAUGUAUUUGUGCAAGUAGAUGAGCCUUAUGUCCUGCUACUCUGCCAUCUUUGGAAAUCUCUGAUUUUGCUAACUGUAUGCUGUUUAUAUUUAGUUCUUCAAUUACUGUUCCGGAAAUCUACUGUCUUAAAAACAAGCUAGAACUCAAUUUGCUAGAAUUACAUUAAAUAGAAGCUAAUAUCAUUUUUAGAAAUUGAUAAGAUUAUAUGUCUUUCUCUCCCCAACCCCAAGCUACAGACUUCAGAACACAUUCAUUUAUUCCAGGAGGAAUAAAUGAAUGUGUUCUUUUAUUUGUAUGGAUCAGGAAGUAAAAUUAAGAAAUAUAUUUUGAGAUUCUCUCAGAUACUGAAGAGAGACUUAAUAGGGAAGAAUCUUUAUAUUCCAUUAAAAGAUAAUCACUAAAGUGGUAUUGCCCACAAGUUUCAAUUACACCUAAUGGUGCAUCUCUGGGGACUCUGCCUCCCAGGUAAUGAACAUUAAGCUAAAAUACCCUUGUUUAGAUCCCAAGAAACAUGCCCAGGCCCCUACCAGGCCCACCUGGGAAUGGCUGCAGGACGAAGAAAUGAACACAUCCCUCCAGAGGCUAAUGGCAACCAGGAAAUGCUUGGCUCUACUCCUGGCCCCAUCCCACCCCACCCCCACCCUGAGAAGAAAGGAACCUGAAUUCUAACUCAGGCAAAAUGGUUCUUUGAGAAAUGAGUCUAUCAUCUUCUCCAUCACCCUGCUUUCUGAAUAAGUCAUUUUUUGCCCCAACAACUGGUCUGUCAAGUUAUUGACCUGUCAUGUGGACAGCAGUACAAGUUUUGACUGUGUAAUAGAUUAUGAGGAAGCCAGCAAGGAACCUUGCUGCAUGUAGCCAGCAGACUCCAGUUGGAGAAUUUUCAAGUAAGGUCCUACCAGCUGCCAGGACACCUGGUCCUGAUAUUCUUUCCUUCAAACUUCACCAAAGAUGCCCUGGCUACCCCAGGCCUUGGCAGUUGGUGCAAGGAAUUAACAUUUGGGAGAUCAUGGCCUCAAUAUAGUAUGGUAAGAUGUUUUGGUGUGAUCAAACCAGAAAUUUUAAUUCCAUUCUGAUUGGGGACUUUUUUCCAGAAAAAAAAGCCAAUUCGUUUUGUAUCUAAGUGGGGUAGACUUUUGGGGGGGAGGGAGCAGUUGCUGAACUUUUACCUAACUUGUCAAUCAAUUUGUUUCCUGCCUUAUUUUUUUCUUAGUUUAUUUUAUUGAACUAUAGUUGAUUUACCAUGCUAUGUUAACUUCUGCUGUACAGCAAAGUGAUUCAAUUAUACAUAUAUUUUUUUCAUACUCUUUUCCAUUAUGGUUUAGUACAGGAUAUUGAAUAUAGUUCCCUGUGCUAUACAGUAGGACUUUAUUUAUCCAUUUUACCCAUAAUAGUUUGCACAUGCUAAUCCAAAACACCCAGUCCCUCCCUCCCUUACCUAUCUUCCCCCCUUGGAAUAAAGUCUGUUCUCUCUUUGAGUGUGUUCCUGUCUCAUAAUUAGGUUCCUUUUUGUCCUAUUUUAGAGUCAGCUUUUAGGGGAUAUUAUACGUUAUUUGUCUUUCUCUUUGACCUUCAUUUAUACUCUCUAGUUGCAUCCAUGUUACUGCAAAUGGCAUUAUUUCAUUAUUUUUUUGUGUGUCUAAGCACAUUCUACUGUAUAUAUGUAUCACAUCUCCCUUGUUCAUUUAUCUGUCAAUGAACUUUCAGGUUGCUUUCAUGUCUUGGCUAUUGCAAAUAGUGUUGCUAUGAACAAAGGGGUGAAGUACCUUUUCCAAUUUUAGUUUUGUCCGGAUAUAUGCACAGAAGUGAGACGCUCAAUCAUAUGGCAACUCUAAUUUUUCAAGGAAUGUCCACAAUAUUUUCCAAGGUGGUUAUGCCAAUUUAUAUGGCAUAACCAACAUGUAGGAGGAUGCCCUUUGCUUCACAACCUUGAAAGGAUUUAUUUGUAGACUUUGUUAUGAUGGUCAUUCUGAUCAGUGUCAGGUGAUUCCUCAUGGUAGUUUUGAUUUCCAAUUCUCUAAUAAUAAGUGAUGUUGAACAUCUUCACUUGUGCAUAUUGGACAUCUUAUAUCUUCUUUGCAGAAAUCUUUCUAGGUCUGCCUAUUUUUUUCAUUGAGUUGUUUGAAUUUUUUGUUGUUGAAUUAUAUGAGCUAUUUCUAUUUUUUGGAAAUUAAGUCCUUGUGGGUCACGUCACUUGGAAAUAUUUUCUCCCAGUCCAUUGGUUGACUUUUCACUUUGUUUAUUGUUUAUUUUGCUGGGCAAAAGCUUAUAAAGUUGAUAGAUUCCAUUUGUGUAUUGUUGCUUUUGUUUCUAUGGCCUUGGGAAACUGACCCUAGUGACCAUUGGUAUGGUUUAGGUCAAAGAAUGUUUGCCUGUGUUCUCUUCUAGAAGUUUCAUGGAGUCAUGUCUUAUGUUAAGUCUUAGAGUUCAUUUUUUGUAUGAGUUCAUUUUUUGUAUGGUGUGAGAGUGAUUUCUAAAUUCAUUGAUUUACAUGUGGCUGUCCAACUUUUCCAGCACCAUUUGCUGAAGAGACUGUACUUCUUCAUUGUAUGUUUUUGCCUCCCUUGUCAAAAAUUAAUUGAGCAUAGGUUGUGUGUUUAUUUCUGGGCUCUCUUCUAAUGAUCCAUAUGUCUGUUUUUGUGCCAGUACCAUGCUGUGUUGAUUGCUGUGGAUUUGCAAUAAUAUUAGAAGAAUGAGAGUUAAACCUCAUUCUUUGUGUUUUUCCCUUAGGAUUGCCUUGGCAAUUGUGAGUCUUUUAUGGUUCCAUAUAAAUUUGGGGGUCAUUUGUUCUAGUUCUGUGAAAAACGUCAUGCGUAAUUCAAUAGGGAUUAUACUAAAUCUGUAUAUUUCUUUGGAUAGAAUUGCCAUUUUAAGAGUAUUAAUUCUUCCAUUCCAAGAGAUUUUGAUAUCUUUACAUUUCUUUGAAUUCUCUUUAAUUUCCUUCAUUAAUAUUUUAUAGUUCUGGGUAUAUAUUUCUUUCACCUCCUUGGUCAGGUUUAUGCCUAAGUAUUUUAUUUUGGGGAAUACAAUUUUAAAAGAUACUGUUUUUUAUCUUUCCUUUCUGAUAUCCAUUGCUAAAAUACAGAAGUUCAACUGGCUUCAAAGUGCUAAUCAUAUAUCCACUACAUUGCUGAAUUCAUUUAUCAGAUCUAGUAUAGUUUUUGUGUGUAUUCAUUAGAGUUUUCUAAAUAUGGUAUUAUGUCUUCUGUUUAUAGUGACAGUUUUACCUCUUUCCUUCCAAUUUGGAUACCUUUGAUUUUUUUUUCUUGUCUGAUUGCUGUCACCAGGAUAUCCAAUACUAAAUUGAACAGAAGUGGUGAAAAUGUGCAUCUUUGUCUUGUUCCAGAUUUUACCAAAGUCUUUUAACAUGGUUUAGUAAAAUAUUUGCUGUCAUUUUAUUUAAUGGCUUUUAUUAUGUUGAGAUAACUUUAUUCUAUAUCCACUUUGGUAAGAAUUUAUCAUGAAGGGAUGUUGAAUUUUCCAAAUGUUUUUUCUAUAUCCAUUAAGAUGAUCAUGUGGUUUUUCCCUUUCCUAUUGUUAAUGUAGUGUAUCACACUGAUUUUGUGUAUGCUUAACCAUCCUUGUGAGCUGGGGAUGAAUCACACCUGAUUGUGGUGUAUGAUCUUUUUUAUGUAUGCUGUCACAUUCAUUUUUUGCUAAUAUUUCUUUGGGAAUUUUUGCAUCUGUAUUAAGUUUUUUUGGUAGUGUUUUUUCUGGUUUUGGUAUCAGUUUGAUGGUGGCUUCAUAGAAUGUCUUUGGAAGUGUUCUCUCC
rnacentral:lncRNA from 1 species